CACAAAACAAGCGGUGAAUGCUUUGGGGUGGGGUGACUGCGUACCUUUUGUAUAAUGGGUCAGCGACUUAUAUUCUGUAGCAAGGUUAACCGAAUAGGGGAGCCGGAGGGAAACCGAGUCUUAAUUGGGCGUUAAGUUGCAGGGUAUAGACCCGAAACCCGGUGAUCUAGCCAUGGGCAGGUUGAAGGUUGGGUAACACUAACUGGAGGACCGAACCGACUAAUGUUGAAAAAUUAGCGGAUGACCUGUGGCUGGGGGUGAAAGGCCAAUCAAACCGGGAGAUAGCUGGUUCUCCCCGAAAGCUAUUUAGGUAGCGCCUCGUGAAUUCAUCUCCGGGGGUAGAGCACUGUUUCGGCUAGGGGGCCAUCCCGGCUUACCAACCCGAUGCAAACUGCGAAUACCGGAGAAUGUUAUCACGGGAGACACACGGCGGGUGCUAACGUCCGUCGUGAAGAGGGAAACAACCCAGACCGCCAGCUAAGGUCCCAAAGUCAUGGUUAAGUGGGAAACGAUGUGGGAAGGCCCAGACAGCCAGGAUGUUGGCUUAGAAGCAGCCAUCAUUUAAAGAAAGCGUAAUAGCUCACUGGUCGAGUCGGCCUGCGCGGAAGAUGUAACGGGGCUAAACCAU
rnacentral:rRNA from 2 species